rnacentral:rRNA from 1 species
CANGCUGGCGGCGUGCCUAAUACAUGCAAGUCGUACGCGAAAGUAGCCUUCGGGCUGCGAGUAGAGUGGCAAACGGGUGAGUAACGCGUGGGUGACCUGCCUUCGAGCGGGGGAUAACCUUCCGAAAGGGGGGCUAAUACCGCAUAAUAUCCCGCCCUUGGAUGGGUGGUGAUCAAAGUCGGGGAUCUUCGGACCUGGCGCUUGAAGAGGGACCCGCGUCCGAUUAGCUUGUUGGUGGGGUAGUGGCCUACCAAGGCGUCUAUCGGUAGCCGGCCUGAGAGGGCGGACGGCCACACUGGGACUGAGACACGGCCCAGACUCCUACGGGAGGCAGCAGUAGGGAAUUGUUCGCAAUGGGCGCAAGCCUGACGACGCAACGCCGCGUGGAGGACGAAGAUCUUCGGGUUGUAAACUCCUGUCAAGUGGGAAGAACAGUGUGGUGGUUAAUAGCCAUUGCGCCUGACGGUACCACUGAAGGAAGCCCCGGCUAACUCCGUGCCAGCAGCCGCGGUAAUACGGGGGGGGCAAGCGUUGUUCGGAAUUACUGGGCGUAAAGGGCUCGUAGGCGGCCAUCCAAGUCGGACGUGAAAUCCCCAGGCUCAACCUGGGAACUGCGUUCGAUACUGGUUGGCUUGAAUCCGGGAGAGGGAUGCGGAAUUCCAGGUGUAGCGGUGAAAUGCGUAGAUAUCUGGAGGAACACCGGUGGCGAAGGCGGCAUCCUGGACCGGUAUUGACGCUGAGGAGCGAAAGCCAGGGGAGCGAACGGGAUUAGAUACCCCGGUAGUCCUGGCCCUAAACGAUGAAUGCUUGGUGUGGCGGGUAUCGAUCCCUGCCGUGCCGGAGCUAACGCGUUAAGCAUUCCGCCUGGNGAGUACGGUCAC